GAAAGAUGGGUGAAGAAGAAGCAGGAAGAGCGCCAUCUUGUGUGAGGUGGUGGCUGGAGCCGAAUUCCUCACUCAGUCCUACGUCUCCUGCUGCUUAGAGUCAGACUGGGAUCAAGAAGCUCCUGGAAGAAACUGGGUAUGGUGAGCCGAGAGGAAGAUGCUCAGAGGACCACACUAGGAAAGGUGGAACUGAAGGGACACAAAGCAGCUCGCCUUCAAUCUGGUCUGGUGUCCAAGCUCCACCUCUGGAGUCCAGUUCCACCUCCGACCUCAUCUAAACAUAGAAAAGUAUGGUGAAAAUACGGUUAUAAUCUUACGGGAGGAUCUUUGUAGACCAUCUUUGUCUUGUGCACACCAAUGGCUCCUCAGCUCUCUUCUUUAAGUUCUGAAUAGAUAAAGAAGUUCCUUGAAUCACUAAUGGUGAAAUCCAGACAUCGGGCGGCACUUCAUCGAGGAAAAGGGAGACCUGGAUCCCAAUCGUGGACUUGACUGGAUGUAAUACAGUUCCCGAGUGGAGAAUGGGGAAAAGGGUACCACCGAAGUGUAUUGUUGGAAGGAUGAAAUGAGAUAAUGCCUAUAUAGUGAAGCUUCACGUAGCAGCUGGCACAGAUAAUUUAAUCAGGGUCUGUUUCCUCCUCUCUUUCUCCACCUUCUGCCAUUCUCUGUUUUCUGAGACGAGUCUCACUGUUCUGGAAUUCUGGGCUUCCCUGGGCAGAGCCUAGUUUGUUCACCCACUCUGCAACUGACUGUUGUUGAACAGUGCAGUGGUUAAGUGGGCAGCUGCUAAUCAAAUGACUAAUUAUUACUGUGACAUUCUCAGCACAGAGCCAGGCGUGCCGGUCCUCCAGUCCCAUGAGCUGAGGAUUUCUCCAGUGCCAUCUGAUCUUCAUCAUUAUUGUACACAUACAUACACACACUCACAUCUUGGAUCCUGGCGUCUGGGAAUCUUGGGUCAGCAGAGGUGACGGGUUAAGGGAGGUGAGUGGGGGAGCACAGGAGAGACCAGAAGUCCCUCUAGGCACCUACAGCUACCCCUCCCCACCACCCGCUGAUAUGGUUUGGCUGUGUCCCUACCCAAAUCUCACCUUGAAUUGUAAUAAUCCUCACGUGUCAAGGGCAG